rnacentral:lncRNA from 1 species
UUUGCCUCUCUUGUUCUUCUGCCUUCGGCCACUGAGGACACAGCAUCAAGGUGCCAUCUUGAAAGCAGAGAGCAACCCUCACCAGACAGCAAUGCCAGUGCCUCAAUCUGGUACUUCCAUCCUCUAGAACGGGAUUCAAAUGAUAUGAAAUAGUAAGAUACAGAGAUGGUGUUGCUAGUCACUUUUAGGAACAGAAACACAAAGAUGUCCAGAGAAAGGCCAUAAAGAAUUUGGGGUCAUGAGGAAAGCAAAGGCUGUUUCCUGGCAAAAUGUUUCUCAGUUGCUGUGUAAAUAGGUUUUGGUUAUGCCUGUCCUACAAAGUGUCUAAGCUUGGACCAGACACACCUGAAUCACAGCAUUGGCCCAAGCUGGGACCACCACAGGCAAGACAUACACACAGGCAAGACAUGUGCAACAGUUAUCAAAGGCAUUGAGAGGACAGAAUAAUGCCCAUCACUCUGAUAAGAAAAAGCAAACUAAUUAAAUAAACUCCAUGAGCUUUCUGAUAGAAACCAGGAGACAUCAAAGUCUUUCAUGGAUGGUACUAGGUCACAUGCUUCUUUUCCUCAAGUGCAAAGAAGUGAUGGUUAUAAUGGUUACUACAAGGGACAGUCCUUUCCAACUGGCUUGCCCUAGUUGCCUUUUGUUCUGAAGUGUAAUUCCUUCAAUUGGUCUGAUGAUGUUAUUGGUAUUAUCCUCACUGGGCCUGAUUUUCCUGAAGGGAACUGAGCUGUGUGACCUUCGAUGAGUUCAGAUUUUUACCAACAAUCUUCGAUUAUCAAAAGCAGAAGAAAAUGCUUCUGUGUGAAAUCAAAGGCUUUCAGGCCUUUGGCGCUAUCUGGAGACAUUUUGGGUGGUUAUAAGUGGAGGACACUGCUGGCAUCUAGCAGAUGGAGGCCAGAAAUGCUGCUGAGCAUCCUCCAAUGCACAGGGCAGCCCCCACAACAACAAACUAUCUGGCCCAAAAUGUCAAUUAUGCUGAGGUUGAAACAUCACGAUAUAAUUUAAAAUAUAUUUUUAUUCAUUCUUCUAUUAAAGAAAUAUAGUGGAGAAAGCAUCAGUUUGGGAAUACACAAGAUUAAUUUGACUUUAAAUCUUGCUCUUUCCCUGCACCAGCUGUAUAAUCUUAGGGAAGAAAUUGCAUUAGAAGUUGCUGAAGACUUCAAUUUCUCAUGUAUAACAGAGAAUUAAAUCCUGCUUUACUGUAUUAUUAUGAGGAUUGCAAGAGUUAACCAGUGUAUGGUUCCUGACACGUGGCUGCCCCUUAAUAAAUAUAUAAAG